AAAGGCCGUAGCUCAUUGACAGAGCAUCUGCAUUUCAUGCUGAGGGUCCCAGGUUCAAACCCUGACAUCUUUA